AGGUGGGUGUGGACCUGUGGGUGGGAGGAAGGGAACCUGGCUAAAGUGGAACCACCUGGACUAGGAAGAGCGCGUGCCCUGAAGAGACUAAGUCUGUUUCCUCAUUUAAAAAAGGAGUGAAAAUCACUUGGUGAUCCAUUAGGUCUUUUCAGCUGUGACAUCCAGUGUUUUCUCUUCAAGCCUUUUAUUUAAAAAUGUCUGUAGACUAACAAAAAGUUACAAAAAUAGUGCAGAGGUCCUGUGACCCAUUCGUCAACGCCCCCAGUGCAACAUCUUAUGUGACUAGUCACUGCAGGACUGCAUCACGGGGACCGGGCAUUUGACAGUGGCAGAGAACAGCUAGCUCGGCUGCAAAGCUCACGUGGUGCUCACAUUUUUGCACACGCUUGUUUUUUGUAUGUGAGUGCACCAUCAUGAGAAUGCUUCAGCGAGCCCUUUUGAGCACUCUGGAAAGAAGUGGGAAGACGGAAAGAAUGCAUCGUGUGGUUUGGAGCAAGUGCUGGCAGCCGAGGGCCUGGGCUGUCUGACUACACUGCUUCUCAGUGACGUGAGUGUGGACAGAUCGAUGGACCUCCAGGUUGUGACCCAUAAGGCAGGGGCAGUACAUUGUCGUAGGGAUUAGAUGACACAGUCGGUGUGGGCUUCUCAGCCCUGGUCUGAUGCAUAGUGGGCAUUUGGUGAAGGGUGUAGCUGUUGCUUUUCUGGUGCCAGGUGGAGCUCUGGCUGGAUUCCAAGCAUGUGGCAAGGGCGACCAGGCACACACCUGCAGCUGUCUUCAUCCACGACCUGCCCUUCCUCCUACCUAAACCCAGCUCCGGUUUCAGAGCCCACCUUUUCCUUCCUCCUCAGAGACCUCUCUCCCUUCCCGCUGGUCUGUGCCCUCUGCCUCAGUCUCCCAAACAGCUAAUGUUUUCCUUUAGAGAUGUUCUGAAGCACAAUGUUGACAAGCCUAGACUCUGGGGCCACACUGUCUGGGUGUCCCUCCUCUGCCCCUUACCUCCUGUGCGAUCCUAGGCAAGUUCCUUAGUUCUCUGCCUCAGUUUCCUCAUCUGAGAGAAUAAAGAGCCCGCUUUAUACGGUGGCUGUAAAGACCAAAUGAUACUCUCUGUGUAAAGUGCUAAGAACAGUCCCUGGCACACAGCACACUCUAUGUAAGUGUUGGCCAGUGUUAUUUCAUAGCCUGACAUCUUGAGGGGUUGCCAGAUAGGCUAGCUUCACUUCUCUACUUCCUCACACAGCUAAAAAAAGCCAAAACCGUCUAUUCUAGAACAGUUUAAGCACAUGAAACUAGAGAAUUGUGUGAUGAACCCCAAACUAGUUUUACUUAACCAACACACACACCACACACACACUUUUAAAGUAUGUCAGGUCAGAGGCCGUUUUCACCUAUCAGCACUUCAGUAUGCGUCACUAACUAGUGAGGACCUUAUUAAAUGAAACAGUCACCAACCAUGCCAUCACAACAAGGUUAAUAAGAACCCCUUCCUGUCCUCCGACACCCAGUUCACAGUCACGUCUCCCUGAUUGCCUUAAAAGGUCUUUUUCACAGUUGAUUUAUUUUGAUCAGUAUCUAAACAGAAUCCACACAUGACACUUGGUUGCUAUGUCUGUUAAAACUCUUUUAUUUAUAGGGUCUGCCUUCCCCACACCAGUCUCUUUCUUAACCCACUAAUUUGUUGGAGACCCUGGGGCCCUUGCUCAUGGUGGCCGGCAUCCCAGAUGUGGUGAAAGUGUCCUCAGGUGCCGUUGGACUCAGCACACCUUCGCUGUGACUGCAAAUCUCCGGGGGUUCUUGUUGAGCUCACGCCCUGAUCUGGAGCUAUGCAGGCCAUACCUUGGAGACAUUGCGGGAUCAGAUCCAGACCACCAAUAAAGCAAACAUUGCAGUAAACCAAGUCACACAAAUGUUUUUGUUUCCCAGUGCAUAUAAAAGUUAUAUUGACACUA